rnacentral:rRNA from 1 species
GACGUAGGGCGCGAGCGUUGUCCGGAUUUAUUGGGCGUAAAGAGCUCGUAGGCGGCUUGUCGCGUCGACUGUGAAAACUCGGGGCUCAACUCCGAGCUUGCAGUCGAUACGGGCAGGCUAGAGUUCGGUAGGGGAGACUGGAAUUCCUGGUGUAGCGGUGAAAUGCGCAGAUAUCAGGAGGAACACCGAUGGCGAAGGCAGGUCUCUGGGCCGAUAUCGACGCUGAGGAGCGAAAGCGUGGGGAGCGAACAGG